rnacentral:rRNA from 1 species
AGUAACUGCGAGUGAAGCGGGAAAAGCUCAAAUUUGAAAUCUGGCGGUCCUUUGCGGCCGUCCGAGUUGUAAUCUAGAGAAGUGCUACCCGCGCUGGACCGUGUACAAGUCUCCUGGAAUGGAGCGUCACAGAGGGUGAGAAUCCCGUCUUUGACACGGACUGCCAGGGCUUAUGUGGUGCGCUCUCGAAGAGUCGAGUUGUUUGGGAAUGCAGCUCUAAAUGGGUGGUAAAUUCCAUCUAAAGCUAAAUACAGGCGAGAGACCGAUAGCGAACAAGUACCGUGAGGGAAAGAUGAAAAGAACUUUGGAAAGAGAGUUAAACAGUACGUGAAAUUGCUGAAAGGGAAACGUUUGAAGUCAGUCGCGUUGGCUGGGGAUCAACCUUGCUCUUGCAGGGCGCACUCUCUGGCUCGACGGGUCAGCAUCAGUUUCGGCCGCUGGAGAAAGGCUAGGGGAAUGUGGCAUCGCUUCGGUGAUGUGUUAUAGCCCUUGGUCGUAUGCAGCGGCUGGGACUGAGGAACUCAGCCUGCCCUUAACUGGGCCGGGUCUUUUUGACCACGCUUAACGGGCUUAGGAUGCUGGCAUAAUGGCUUUAAGCGACCCGUCUUGAAACACGGACCAAGGAGUCUAACAUGCUUGCGAGUGUUUGGGUGGAAAACCCGAGCGCGUAAUGAAAGUGAAAGUUGGGAACCCUGUCGUGGGGUGCACCGACGCCCGGACCAGACCUUCUUGCGACGGCUCCGCGGUAGAGCAGGCAUGUUGGGACCCGAAAGAUGGUGAACUAUGCCUGAAUAGGGUGAAGCCAGAGGAAACUCUGGUGGAGGCUCGUAGCGAUUCUGACGUGCAAAUCGAUCGUCAAAUUUGGGUAUAGGGGCGAAAGACUAAUCGAACCAUCUAGAAGCUGGUUCCUGCCGAGUUU